AUGCCACUGCAAGAUGAAGAAGCCAUUCUCCAUAUCAAGUUGCAGGAGUUGGUGCAGAAGCAAUCAACUUAUCUGGAUGUACAUUGCAGUUGUUAUGUAGAGGAAAUUGCAAUUGCAUCACCGAUUACAGUUCCCCUUAACCGAACUGAGCGCCACGUGGAGAUCACAGGGACACAAUCAGCAAUUGAUGGUUUAUUGUACCUUCUAAGUGUCACCAAGUCAAUAUCAGUGUCAUGUGAUACUGCUAUCAACUAUUUUCCUGCCGAGAUCAAUUUUCACGAGCUAGAAGAAUGUGAGCUACGUUGGUGCCAUAAAAUGGAAGGAGUUGUAUAUGCCACUAAAGGCAUGAAAAAACUACGCAAUAUGCAUGUCUGUAAUCUCAAAAGACUAGUUUGGUUCUGUCUAGAGUAUAGUUCUCCCGACUUCAGUAGACUAGAGCACCUGCACUUAAGAGGACUGCCCAAGAUUGGAGCACGUGGUGCCACAUACAGCAACACUGCCAUGCCUGAAGACUCUUGA
rnacentral:rRNA from 1 species